AUGAGUUCUUCAAAACAUCUGACUACAAGGGUUUUGGGACAUCGCUCUUCAAAUAGGUAUACAAUCAACAAAAAAAAACUAACACUAACCCUAAUUUUCACUUUCUAACGGUUCUGUGUUUGAUUUUUGCUCAAAUUGGAUAUGGGGUUUGCUUAAUUUCUUUCAGGCCUAUUGAUGGUAAAGAAAAUGGACAGACCAAAACACCUGGCAAAGAUAUGAAUGUAUCGCUGUCCUAUUUCCUUAAUCGUAAGCUGCAAAAAGGGUCUAUUCUGCCCAAAUCUGUUCAGGUACUUUUUUGCCAAUUUUAAUUUAGCAAAAUUGUUUGAUUAGGGAAUUCGAUACUGGAGUUAAGGAUUUAAACACUACCUUUGCAACAAAUAAACGCAAGAAUUUCUCUUUUU
rnacentral:lncRNA from 1 species